GACGUAGGGGGCGAGCGUUGUCCGGAUUUAUUGGGCGUAAAGCGUGCGUAGGCGGCUGCGCAAGUCGGGUGUGAAACCCCGGGGCUCAACCCCGGAACUGCAUCCGAUACUGCGUGGCUAGAGGUAGGUAGGGGAGAUCGGAAUUCCUGGCGUAGCGGUGGAAUGCGCAGAUAUCAGGAAGAACACCGGUGGCGAAGGCGGCUCUCUGGGCCUUACCUGACGCUGAGGAGCGAAAGCGUGGGUAGCAAACAGG
rnacentral:rRNA from 1 species